GGUAGUCCACGCCGUAAACGAUGUCGACUUGGGGGUUGUGCCCUUGAGGCGUGGCUUCCGGAGCUAACGCGUUAAGUCGACCGCCUGGGGAGUACGGCCGCAAGGUUAAAACUCAAAUGAAUUGACGGGGGCCCGCACAAGCGGUGGAGCAUGUGGUUUAAUUCGAUGCAACGCGAAGAACCUUACCUGGUCUUGACAUCCACAGAACUUUCCAGAGAUGGAUUGGUGCCUUCGGGAACUGUGAGACAGGUGCUGCAUGGCUGUCGUCAGCUCGUGUUGUGAAAUGUUGGGUUAAGUCCCGCAACGAGCGCAACCCUUAUCCUUUGUUGCCAGCGGUCCGGCCGGGAACUCAAAGGAGACUGUCAGUGAUAAGCCGGAGGAAGGUGGGGAUGACGUCAAGUCCUCAUGGCCCUUACGCGCUGGGCUACACACGUGCUACAAUGGCGGUGACAGUGGGCAGCAAACUCGCGAGAGUGCGCUAAUCUCCAAAAGCCGUCUCAGUUCGGAUUGUUCUCUGCAACUCGAGAGCAUGAAGGCGGAAUCGCUAGUAAUCGCGGAUCAGCAUGCCGCGGUGAAUACGUUCCCAGGCCUUGUACACACCGCCCGUCACACCAUGGGAGUUGGGUUCACCCGAAGGCGUUGCGCUAACUCGCAAGAGAGGCAGGCGACCACGGUGGGUUAGCGACUGGGGGAAGUCGUAACAAGGUAACC
rnacentral:rRNA from 1 species